rnacentral:sRNA from 1 species
UUUGCUGGCCUGGGGCAACAGUAUUGGAGACUUGAUAGCAGACACCACCAUGGCACGGCAAGGUUAUCCCAGGAUGGGCAUCUCGGCUUGUUUUGGAGGCCCAUUGUUUAAUCUCCUUUUAGGUCUUGGAAUUCCAUUUACCAUUGCUUGUAUCAAGCGUGGAGGAGUGUUCUAUGUAUGUAUACAUUACCAUCAUAAUAAGGCUUCUCUUUAAGUCCGAAGAUUAAGGAGCAUUGCAGAAUUUUCCAUCAUAACAAUUUAUCAUUUGUAAAAUUAUUCCGUAAUAAAAAUUGAGUAUCAACACCGGUCUACCGAAACAAAAUUGCUUACAGUUAGAAGUACAAGCUCAGUGAGUGUCAAUGU